rnacentral:rRNA from 1 species
CGGGGGGGCAAGCGUUGUUCGGAAUUACUGGGCGUAAAGGGCUCGUAGGCGGCCAACUAAGUCAGACGUGAAAUCCCCAGGCUCAACCUGGGAACUGCGUCUGAUACUGGAUGGCUUGAAUCCGGGAGAGGGAUGCAGAAUUCCAGGUGUAGCGGUGAAAUGCGUAGAUAUCUGGAGGAAUACCGGUGGCGAAGGCGGCAUCCUGGACCGGCAUCGACGCUGAGGAGCGAAAGCCAGGGGAGCAAACGGGAUUAGAUACCCCGGUAGUCCUGGCCCUAAACGAUGAAUGCUUGGUGUAACGGGUAUCGAUCCCUGUUGUGCCGAAGCUAACGCAUUAAGCAUUCCGCCUGGGGAGUACGGUCGCAAGGCUG